CAUAACCUCCGGAAACUGGGUAUAAUACCCGAUAGGUCUCGAUUGCUGGAAUGCAUCGAGAUUUAAAGCUCCGGCGCCUAAGGAUGGGUCUGCGGCCUAUCAGGUAGUAGUGGGUGUAGCGUACCUACUAGCCUACGACGGGUACGGGUUGUGAGAGCAAGAGCCCGGAGAUGGAUUCUGAGACACGAAUCCAGGCCCUACGGGGUGCAGCAGGCGCGAAAACUUUACAAUGCUGGCAACAGCGAUAAGGGAACCUCGAGUGCUAGGUUACAAAUCUGGCUGUCGAGAUGCCUAAAAAGCAUUUCAUAGCAAGGGCCGGGCAAGACCGGUGCCAGCCGCCGCGGUAACACCGGCGGCUCGAGUGGUAACCGUUAUUAUUGGGUCUAAAGGGUCUGUAGCCGGCCGGAUAAGUCUCUUGAGAAAUCUGGCAGCUUAACUGUCAGGCUUUCAGGAGAUACUGUCUGGCUCGAGGCCGGGAGAGGUGAGAGGUACUUCAGGGGUAGGGGUGAAAUCUUGUAAUCCUUGAAGGACCACCAGUGGCGAAGGCGUCUCACCAGAACGGACCUGACGGCAAGGGACGAAAGCUAGGGGCACGAACCGGAUUAGAUACCCGGGUAGUCCUAGCCGUAAACGAUACUCGCUAGGUGUCGGCCACGGUGCGACCGUUGUCGGUGCCGUAGGGAAGCCGUGAAGCGAGCCACCUGGGAAGUACGGCCGCAAGGCUGAAACUUAAAGGAAUUGGCGGGGGAGCACCACAACGGGUGGAGCUUGCGGUUUAAUUGGAUUCAACGCCGGAAAUCUUACCUGGGACGGACAGCAAUAUGAAGGCCAGGCUGAAGACUUUGCCGGAUUAGCUGAGAGGUGGUGCAU
rnacentral:rRNA from 1 species